rnacentral:rRNA from 1 species
AGUUACCAGCACGUUAUGGUGGGCACUCUAAGGAGGACUGCCGGUGGACAAACCGGAGGAAGGUGGGGAUGACGUCAAGUCAUCAUGGCCCUUACGGCCUGGGCUACACACGUGCUACAAUGGUCGGUACAAAGGGUUGCCAAGCCGCGAGGUGGAGCUAAUCCCAUAAAACCGAUCGUAGUCCGGAUCGCAGUCUGCAACUCGACUGCGUGAAGUCGGAAUCGCUAGUAAUCGUGAAUCAGAAUGUCACGGUGAAUACGUUCCCGGGCCUU